rnacentral:rRNA from 1 species
UACGGGGGGGGCAAGCGUUGUUCGGAAUUACUGGGCGUAAAGGGUGCGCAGGUGGCCGUGCGCGUGGGGAGUGAAAUCGCCUGGCUUAACUGGGCGGGGGCUUUCCAGACGGCGCGGCUUGAGCCACAGAGGGGGGCGUGGAAUUCCCGGUGUAGCGGUGAAAUGCGCAGAUAUCGGGAGGAACACCGGUGGCGAAGGCGGUUCUCUGGGCCUUACCUGACACUGAGGAGCGAAAGCGUGGGGAGCGAACAGG